GCGGGGCGCCCCUGGGGUCGGGUCAACUACCCCGCGAGGGGCGGGGCACUUACAGAAAAACGGGAGCGAGCUGUCCCCGCUCCAACCUGCCCUGGGGGCCAGAGAUAAGCGCAAGUGACGGGGCGGCUCCUCAGGGGCAGGCAGGUUCCAGAUCCCCGGGCAAGGUCUCUGGGCUCCCGCAGCUCGAAAGGCCGAGGAGAAACCUCAGGAUCUCCAGGGCUCCGUCCGCUCGCGUCCGUCCGCACCACACGCCCGGGCUGGGAACCCUGGGCGCGGGGCCCAGGCCUUCUGUUCUCUUCCUGCAGGACUGGAGGAGGCCGGCCAGCUGGCUUCGGGGGAGGCCUGGGAAGACGGAGGGGAGCAGGGGCCUGUGUUUUCUGACAUUCGGUGAAAAAUGCCACUUGUUCAUUGCCCUCCUGAGGCACAAAAUCCUUAUUAUACCAACGGGGGCAGGAAAGACGACAAAAAAUUCAAGAACAAAGUAUGUCUUGUGAAACAUUGCUGUGGAGGAAAAAUACCUGAAAGUAUGUCAUAUACCCCAAAUCAUAAGUUUUGAGAGGAAGUGCAAUGAUUGAAACCCAUGUAUGUCUUUCUAAAGUUCCUGAGCUCAUAUCAUUUCAACUUGAAUACUUCAGUUUCCAUAUCUCUGCUGAGUCUCCACAUCUGCAUAUUCAUUAUAACCAUCCUGUUCUUUAAAUUCUUGAAUAUAUUUAUAAUACCUAUUCUACCCUAUUACAAUAUUGGUUUCACCUUGGACUCUCUUCCUACAGGAGAUCAAACUGCAACCUUGAUGUAUCAGCACAACGCUCCAACCAGCUGAGCUACCCUGCCAGGGCUGGCAUGUUAAUUACUAAGAGUGGAUUUGUGGGAAUUAAACCCUAAUCUUAGUUACCCUGGAGUCAGUCUUUUUAUUGCAUACU